AGAGUUUGAUCCUGGCUCAGAGCGAACGCUGGCGGCAGGCUUAACACAUGCAAGUCGAGCGGGCGUAGCAAUACGUCAGCGGCAGACGGGUGAGUAACGCGUGGGAACGUGCCUUUUGGUUCGGAACAACACAGGGAAACUUGUGCUAAUACCGGAUAAGCCCUUACGGGGAAAGAUUUAUCGCCGAAAGAUCGGCCCGCGUCUGAUUAGCUAGUUGGUGAGGUAAUGGCUCACCAAGGCGACGAUCAGUAGCUGGUCUGAGAGGAUGAUCAGCCACAUUGGGACUGAGACACGGCCCAAACUCCUACGGGAGGCAGCAGUGGGGAAUAUUGGACAAUGGGCGCAAGCCUGAUCCAGCCAUGCCGCGUGAGUGAUGAAGGCCCUAGGGUUGUAAAGCUCUUUUGUGCGGGAAGAUAAUGACGGUACCGCAAGAAUAAGCCCCGGCUAACUUCGUGCCAGCAGCCGCGGUAAUACGAAGGGGGCUAGCGUUGCUCGGAAUCACUGGGCGUAAAGGGUGCGUAGGCGGGUCUUUAAGUCAGGGGUGAAAUCCUGGAGC
rnacentral:rRNA from 1 species